CUCUUGAAACACGGACCMAGGAGUUUAAUAUCUACGCGAGUUAUUGGACUAUAAAUCCAAAAGCGCAGUGAAGGCACGUAGCUUUGAACCUGUCAAACAACGGGUACAUUAGCAGGUCGUCUUAAAUGUUUACAUUUGGGCGAAUCAAGAGCGUAGAUAUUAAGACCCGAAAGAUGGUGAACUAUGCUUGUGCAGAUUGAAGCCAGAGGAAACUCUGGUGGAGGAUCAAAGCGGUUCUGACGUGCAAAUCGAUCGUCAGACAUGAGUAUAGGGGCGAAAGACUAAUCGAACCAUCUAGUAGCUGGUUCCCUCCGAAGUUUCCCUCAGGAUAGCAGACAUUAGCCACAGUUUUUUUCGGUAAAGCUAAUGAUUAGAGGGAUCGGGAAUAAAAUGUUCUCAACCUAUUCUCAAACUUUAAAUGGAAGAGARCAGGGCUCACUUAAGUGGAGUCAUACAUGAAAUGGUAAUGUUUAGUGGGCCAUUUUUGGUAAGCAGAACUGGCGCUGUGGGAUGAACCAAAAGUUGAUUUAGAUCGUCUAAGAUAGACGCUCAUGAGAUACCACAAAAGGUGUUGGUUGGUAUAGACAGCAGGACGGUGGCCACGGAAGUCGGCAUCCGCUAAGGAGUGUGUAACAACUCACCUGCCGAAUCAACCAGCCCUGAAAAUUGAUGACGCUGAAGCGUUGUUGAUUAUAAUCAACUUGUACGGCAGACAUAUAUGAUGUCYUACAAAGUAGGAGGGUCAAUGUAAUGGCUAUGAAGUUGUGAUCAUGAGAUCAGGUGGAGCCGUUACAUGCGCAGAUCUUGGUAGCAGUAGCACUUACUCGGCCUGAGAAC
rnacentral:rRNA from 1 species